rnacentral:rRNA from 1 species
CCCUUAGAUGUUCUGGGCCGCACGCGCGCUACACUGAUACAUUCAACGAGCCUAUCCUUGACCGACAGGUCCGGGUAAUCUUUGAAUCUGCAUCGUGACGGGGAUAGAUUAUUGCAAUUAUUAAUCUUCAACGAGGAAUGCCUAGUAGGCGCAAGUCAUCAGCUUGCGUCGAUUACGUCCCUGCCCUUUGUACACACCGCCCGUCGCUCCUACCGAUUGGGUGUGCUGGUGAAAUGUUCGGAUCGGCCGUUUGUCGCGGUUUCCGCGUCAUGUGGCUGAGAAGUUCAUUAAACCCUCCCACCUAGAGGAAGGAGAAGUCGUAACA